CCUUCCGGUUGCUCGCCCUCGUCUCUUACCGGUGUUUCAAACGUUCGGCGUGUUGUCAUGAUUGGUGUCGGGUAGUUGUGUUACCUUUCUCGUCUGGUUUAUUCCAGCCAGCAGCCUGCCUGUUUGGUAAAAUGUUCACUGCAAUUGUAGGAAGCUACAGCGGCUGGAGCGGCUCCCUCCCUUGUGUGUAUGUGUGUGUGUGUGCCACGCAGCUGCUCAGAGUGGCAGCGCCAAGGACCCGCUGCUGUUUUACCUUGCUGCUGCUUUGCUUCACUUUGGCCAUGUACCUGUGACGGGCUAGCUAUACGGCUAACUGCAGCUAGCCUCCACUAUUUCUCUGCCUCAUCAGCCUGGUCUGCUUCCCCUCGGCGUCAGCCGGGUUAGACCAGGCAGCUUGGAAAGGCUGAGCACCUGUGGUAGGGAACGUGGUGGUGGUGUUGUUGUUGGUGGUACCCCUCCCCGUGUGAUGUGUGAACGCUGGGUAUAUGAUUUUAUUCACCUGGUGACCUCUCCCUGGACCCUGUUCCUCCCCUCCGGUGACACAUCCUGCCACAUGGUAAGCAACAGCCUCUGCCCCUUUGCACCUCCCUCCCCUUGUUUUAGCUAGUUGUUUUAAUUGAUUUUAACUUGAUUGUUAAAUAAAAUUGGAUUACUUAUUUGAGCAA